rnacentral:rRNA from 1 species
CUGUUUAUCAAAAACAUCGCCUUUAGCCCCACAAGUAUUAAAGGUCCCGCCUGCCCAGUGAAUAUAUUUUUUAACGGCCGCGGUAUCCUAACCGUGCAAAGGUAGCGUAAUCACUUGUCCUCUAAUUAAGGACCCGUAUGAACGGCUAACUGAGGGCGCCCCUGUCUCCUGACGCCAACUAAUGAAACUGAUCUGCUGGUACAAAAGCCAGAAUACCCCCACAAGACGAGAAGACCCUGUGGAGCUUAUAACCUCACCGCUAAUUAAAUACCCACACAUUUUUAACCUAGCCCGCGGUUUAAGUUGGGGCGACUACGGAGUAAAACAAACCCUCCAAGAAAUAAAGGACUAACCCCCUGCUACCAGGCACACGCGCCAAUAAGACACCAACAAGACCCAGUACAACUGACCAUCGAACCAAGUUACCCCAGGGAUAACAGCGCCAUCCCCCUAUAGAGUCCAUAUCACCAGGGGGGUUUACGACCUCGAUGUUGGAUCAGGACAC